rnacentral:tRNA from 1 species
CGGGAAUUAGCUCAGUUUGGUAGAGCGCUGCGUUCGGGACGCAGAGGUCGCAAGUUCAAAUCUUGUAUUCCCGACUA